CCUACGGGAGGCAGCAGUAGGGAAUCUUCGGCAAUGGACGGAAGUCUGACCGAGCAACGCCGCGUGAGUGAAGAAGGUUUUCGGAUCGUAAAGCUCUGUUGUAAGAGAAGAACGAGUGUGAGAGUGGAAAGUUCACACUGUGACGGUAUCUUACCAGAAAGGGACGGCUAACUACGUGCCAGCAGCCGCGGUAAUACGUAGGUCCCGAGCGUUGUCCGGAUUUAUUGGGCGUAAAGCGAGCGCAGGCGGUUAGAUAAGUCUGAAGUUAAAGGCUGUGGCUUAACCAUAGUACGCUUUGGAAACUGUUUAACUUGAGUGCAAGAGGGGAGAGUGGAAUUCCAUGUGUAGCGGUGAAAUGCGUAGAUAUAUGGAGGAACACCGGUGGCGAAAGCGGCUCUCUGGCUUGUAACUGACGCUGAGGCUCGAAAGCGUGGGGAGCAAACAGGAUUAGAUACCCUGGUAGUCCACGCCGUAAACGAUGAGUGCUAGGUGUUGGGUCCUUUCCGGGACUCAGUGCCGCAGCUAACGCAUUAAGCACUCCGCCUGGGGAGUACGACCGCAAGGUUGAAACUCAAAGGAAUUGACGG
rnacentral:rRNA from 1 species